rnacentral:rRNA from 1 species
UACGUAGGGUGCAAGCGUUGUCCGGAAUUAUUGGGCGUAAAGAGCUCGUAGGCGGUUUGUUGCGUCGGCUGUGAAAUCCCGAGGCUCAACCUCGGGUCUGCAGUCGAUACGAGCAAACUAGAGUGUUGCAGGGGAGACUGGAAUUCCUGGUGUAGCGGUGAAAUGCGCAGAUAUCAGGAGGAACACCGGUGGCGAAGGCGCUCAUCUGGCCCAAUACUGACGCUGAGGCGCGAAAGCCUAGGGGAGCAAACGGG